rnacentral:rRNA from 1 species
GUGGGGAAUCUUGCGCAAUGGGCGAAAGCCUGACGCAGCCAUGCCGCGUGAAUGAUGAAGGUCUUAGGAUUGUAAAAUUCUUUCACCGGGGACGAUAAUGACGGUACCCGGAGAAGAAGCUCCGGCUAACUUCGUGCCAGCAGCCGCGGUAAUACGAAGGGGGCUAGCGUUGCUCGGAAUUACUGGGCGUAAAGGGCGCGUAGGCGGACAGCUUAGUCAGAGGUGAAAGCCCAGGGCUCAACCUUGGAAUUGCCUUUGAUACUGGCUGUCUUGAGUUUGGGAGAGGUGAGUGGAAAUCCGAGUGUAGAGGUGAAAUUCGUAGAUAUUCGGAAGAACACCAGUGGCGAAGGCGACUCACUGGCCCAAUACUGACGCUGAGGUGCGAAAGCGUGGGGAGCAAACAGGAUUAGAAACCCGAGUAGUCC